rnacentral:rRNA from 1 species
CCUACGGGGGGCAGCAGUAGGGAAUCUUCCGCAAUGGACGAAAGUCUGACGGAGCAACGCCGCGUGAGCGAAGAAGGUCUUCGGAUCGUAAAGCUCUGUUGUCGGGGAAGAACAAGUACGGUAGGAAAUGCCCGUACUUUGAGGGUACCCGACGAGAAAGCACCGGCUAACUACGUGCCAGCAGCCGCGGUAAUACGUAGGUGGCAAGCGUUGUCCGGAAUUAUUGGGCGUAAAGCGCGCGCAGGCGGUCUUUUAAGUCUGAUGUGAAAUCUUGCGGCUCAACCGCAAGCGGUCAUUGGAGACUGGGGGACUUGAGUGCAGAAGAGGAAAGCGGAAUUCCACGUGUAGCGGUGAAAUGCGUAGAGAUGUGGAGGAACACCAGUGGCGAAGGCGGCUUUCUGGUCUGUAACUGACGCUGAGGCGCGAAAGCGUGGGGAGCAAACAGGAUUAGAUACCCUAGUAGUC